rnacentral:rRNA from 1 species
GGAAUUGUUCGCAAUGGGCGCAAGCCUGACGACGCAAUGCCGCGUGAAGGAUGAAGGUCUUCGGAUCGUAAACUUCUGUUGCUCGGGACGAAUGGCUCCGACCUAACACGUCGGAGUGUGACGGUACCGGGUGCGGAAGCCCCGGCUAACUCUGUGCCAGCAGCCGCGGCAAUACAGAGGGGGCAAGGGUUGUUCGGAAUUACGGGGCGUAAAGGGCGCGUAGGCGGCCUGCUAAGGCGAACGUGAAAUCCCCGGGCUUAACCCGGGAACUGCGUCCGAUACUGGUGGGCUUGAAUCCGGGAGAGGGAUGUGGAAUUCCAGGUGUAGCGGUGAAAUGCGUAGAUAUCUGGAGGAACACCGGUGGCGAAGGCGGCAUCCUGGACCGGUAUUGACGCUGAGGCGCGAAAGCCAGGGGAGCAAA